rnacentral:rRNA from 1 species
GGGGAAUAUUGCACAAUGGGCGAAAGCCUGAUGCAGCAACGCCGCGUGAGUGAUGAAGGCCUUCGGGUCGUAAAGCUCUUUGAUCAGGGAUGAUAAUGACAGUACCUGAAAAACAAGCCACGGCUAACUACGUGCCAGCAGCCGCGGUAAUACGUAGGUGGCGAGCGUUGUCCGGAAUUACUGGGCGUAAAGGAUGCGUAGGUGGAUAUUUAAGUGGGAUGUGAAAUCCCCGGGCUCAACCCGGGAACUGCAUUCCAAACUGGGUAUCUAGAGUGCAGGAGAGGAAAGCGGAAUUCCUAGUGUAGCGGUGAAAUGCGUAGAUAUUAGGAGGAACACCAGUGGCGAAGGCGGCUUUCUGGACUGUAACUGACACUGAGGCAUGAAAGCGUGGGUAGCAAAC